rnacentral:rRNA from 1 species
GACGAACGCUGGCGGCGUGCUUAACACAUGCAAGUCGAACGGAAAGGCCCUGCUUUUGUGGGGUGCUCGAGUGGCGAACGGGUGAGUAACACGUGAGUAACCUGCCCUUGACUUUGGGAUAACUUCAGGAAACUGGGGCUACUACCGGAUAGGAGCUCCUGCUGCAUGGUGGGGGUUGGAAAGUUUCGGCGGUUGGGGAUGGACUCGCGGCUUAUCAGCUUGUUGGUGGGGUAGUGGCUUACCAAGGCUUUGACGGGUAGCCGGCCUGAGAGGGUGACCGGCCACAUUGGGACUGAGAUACGGCCCAGACUCCUACGGGAGGCAGCAGUGGGGAAUAUUGCACAAUGGGCGGAAGCCUGAUGCAGCAACGCCGCGUGCGGGAUGACGGACUUCGGGUUGUAAACCGCUUUCGCCUGUGACGAAGCGUGAGUGACGGUAAUGGGUAAAGAAGCACCGGCUAACUACGUG